rnacentral:rRNA from 1 species
GGGCCCGCACAAGCGGUGGAGCAUGUGGUUUAAUUCGAUGAUACGCGAGGAACCUUACCAGGACUUAAAUGUAAGUUGCAUGAUUCAGAAAUGAAUCUUUCUUCGGACUACUUACAAGGUGCUGCAUGGUUGUCGUCAGCUCGUGCCGUGAGGUGUCAGGUUAAGUCCUAUAACGAGCGCAACCCCUAUCGUUAGUUGCCAUCAAGUAAAGUUGGGAACUCUAGCGAAACUGCCGGUGUAAACCGAGAGGAAGGUGGGGAUGACGUCAAAUCAUCACGGCCCUUACGUUCUGGGCUACACACGUGCUACAAUGGUCGGUACAGAAAGCAGCCACUAUGCGAAUAGGAGCUAAAUCUUUAAAAACCGGUCUCAGUUCGGAUCGGGGUCUGCAACUCGGCCCCGUGAAGCUGGAAUCGCUAGUAAUCG